rnacentral:rRNA from 1 species
GACGAACGCUGGCGGCGUGCUUAACACAUGCAAGUCGAACGGAAAGGCCCUGCUUUUGUGGGGUGCUCGAGUGGCGAACGGGUGAGUAACACGUGAGUAACCUGCCCUUGACUUUGGGGUAACUUCAGGAAACUGGGGCUAAUACCGGAUAGGAGCUCCUGCUGCAUGGUGGGGGUUGGAAAGUUUCGGCGGUUGGGGAUGGACUCGCGGCUUAUCAGCUUGUUGGUGGGGUAGUGGAUUACCAAGGCUUUGACGGGUAGCCGGCCUGAGAGGGUGACCGGCCACAUUGCGACUGAGAUACGGCACAGACGCCUACGGGAGGCAGCAGUGGGGAAUAUUGCACAAUGGGCGGAAGCCUGAUGCAGCAACGCCGCGUGCGGGAUGACGGCCUUCGGGUUGUAAACCGCUUUCGCCUGUGACGAAGCGUGAGUGACGGUAAUGGGUAAAGAAGCACCGGCUAACUACGUG